GACGAACGCUGGCGGCGUGCUUAACACAUGCAAGUCGAACGGAAAGGCCCUGCUUUUGUGGGGUGCUCGAGUGGCGAACGGGUGAGUAACACGUGAGUAACCUACCCUUGACUUUGGGAUAACUUCAGGAAACUGGGGCUAAUACCGGAUAGGAGCUCCUGCUGCAUGGUGGGGGUUGGAAAGUUUCGGCGGUUGGGGAUGGACUCGCGGCUUAUCGGCUUGUUGGUGGGGUAGUGGCUUACCAAGGCUUUGACGGGUAGCCGGCCUGAGAGGGUGACCGGCCACAUUGGGACUGAGAUACGGCCCAGACUCCUACGGGAGGCAGCAGUGGGGAAUAUUGCACAAUGGGCGGAAGCCUGAUGCAGCAACGCCGCGUGCGGGAUGACGGCCUUCGGGUUGUAAACCGCUUUCGCCUGUGACGAAGCGUGAGUGACGGUAAUGGGUAAAGAAGCACCGGCUAACUACGUG
rnacentral:rRNA from 1 species